rnacentral:rRNA from 1 species
AGAGUUUGAUCCUGGCUCAGGAUGAACGCUAGCGGCAGGCUUAACACAUGCAAGUCGAGGGGCAGCACGGGUAGCAAUACCUGGUGGCGACCGGCGGAAGGGUGCGUAACGCGUGAGCAACAUGCCCUAUACAGGGGAAUAAACCAGGGAAACUUGGUCUAAUGCCCCAUAGCAAUAAGAUAAGGCAUCUUAUUUUAUUUAAAGCUUCGGUGGUAUAGGAUUGGCUCGCGUGACAUUAGCUAGUUGGUGAGGUAACGGCCCACCAAGGCAACGAUGCGUAGCCGACCUGAGAGGGUGAUCGGCCACACUGGGACUGAGACACGGCCCAGACUCCUACGGGAGGCAGCAGUAGGGAAUCUUCCGCAAUGGACGAAAGUCUGACGGAGCAACGCCGCGUGAGUGAAGAAGGUUUUCGGAUCGUAAAACUCUGUUGUCAGGGAAGAACAAGUAUCGGAGUAACUGCCGGUACCUUGACGGUACCUGACCAGAAAGCCACGGCUAACUACGUGCCAGCAGCCGCGGUAAUACGUAGGUGGCAAGCGUUGUCCGGAAUUAUUGGGCGUAAAGCGCGCGCAGGCGGUCUUUUAAGUCUGAUGUGAAAUCACGCGGCUCAACCGCGUGCGGUCAUUGGAAACUGGGAGACUUUGAGUGCAGAAGAGAAGAGCGGAAUUCCACGUGUAGCGGUGAAAUGCGUAAGAAGAUUGUGGAGGAACACCAGUGG